AACAAACGCUGGCGGCGUGCCUAAUACAUGCAAGUCGAACGGGGAAAGCUUUCGGGUGAGUACUAGUGGCGCACGGGUGAGUAACGCGUGGAUAAUCUGCCUUAGAGUGGGGGAUAACUAGUCGAAAGAUUAGCUAAUACCGCAUAAGACCACAAGAACUGCGGUUCAAGGGGUCAAAGGUUUUUCGCUCUAAGAUGAGUCCGCGUAAGAUUAGCUAGUUGGUAGGGUAACGGCCUACCAAGGCGACGAUCUUUAACUGGUCUGAGAGGAUGAUCAGUCACACUGGAACUGAGACCCGGUCCAGACUCCUACGGGAGGCAGCAGUAGGGAAUAUUGCACAAUGGAGGAAACUCUGAUGCAGCGACGCCGCGUGAGUGAUGAAGGCCUUCGGGUCGUAAAGCACUGUCGCAGGGGAAUAACACAAUGAAGGUACCCUGUAAGAAAGGAUCGGCUAACUUCGUGCCAGCCGCCGCAGUAACAC
rnacentral:rRNA from 1 species